GCGGGCGUAGCUCAGUGGUAGAGUCCUUGCUUCCCAAGCAAGUUGUCGCGGGUUCAAAUCCCGCCGCCCGCU
rfam:Nitrospira sp. SG-bin2 contig7208, whole genome shotgun sequence.